GGAUCAUUACUGGCGGUCUUCGCGACCCCGAUACCUGUGAACCUAUUUUACCACUAUUUGUUGCUUUGGCGAGAUGGCCUUCCCCGUAAGGGGAACAAGCGCGCCGUCCCGCCGAAGUAACCAAUAUUUCAAAGUCUUGAGUUUUUUUUUACUCUGAGCAAACAAAGUCUCCAAAACGAGAGUUACAACUUUCAACGAUGGAUCUCUCGGCUCCGGCCUCGAUGAAGAACGCAGCGAAAUGCGAUACUUAAUAGGACUCGCAGACCCCCUUCGUGAAUCAUCGAGUUUUUGAACGCACAUUGCACCCGCCAGUAUUCUGGCGGGUCUGCCUGUCCGAGCGUCGUCUACACCCCCCGGGCUUGCUUUGCCCCGGCGUUGGGGUAUGCGAGAGAAGGUUGACUCAACCGCGCUCGCAGCCCUCAAAGACAGCGGCGGCACCGUUGGGGCAACGCUGAUACGCAGUAAAAUCUUUUACGUCUCGUAUACAGUAGACCCUUUCGGAGCCUGCCUCCUUUGGCGAGAAGGGCUUUUUGGCCCGACCCGCGACGACUAUCAUGGUCUUGCUUGUCGACCUCGGAUCAGACAGGGUUACCCGCUGAACUUAAGCAUAUCAAUAAGCGGAGGAAGAGAAACCAACAGGGAUUGCCCCAGUAGCGGCGAGCGAAGCGGCAACAGCCCAGAUUUGAAAUCUGUCCCUUUUAGGGUCCGACUUGUAAUCUGCAGAUGGGUCUUCCCGGGGGCACGUGUGCCGCCCAAGUGUACCUGGAACGGUUUGCCGAAGAGGGUGAGAGCCCCGUACGGCGGUGCCGAGCCUCCUCCAGCGAAGCCCAUUCGGAGAGUCGAGCAGUUUGGGAAUGCUGCUCUAAAGGGAGGUAAAUCCCUUCCAAGGCUAAAUACCUGCCGGAGACCGAUAGCGCAGAAGUAGCGCGAGCGAAAGGUGAAUAGAACUCUGAAAAGAGAGUUAAAGCAUGUGAAAUCGUUGAAGGGGAAGCGGUUUCGACCAGACGCGCGCCGGUCGGUCACCCAGCGGUCACGCUGGGGCACUCUGCCGGCGCGGGCCAGCAUCGGCUGGCGGCGGGGUCAAAUGCCCGGGGAACGUGGCUCUUCGGAGUGUUAUAGCCCCGGGCGUAAUGCCUCGUUGCCGGCCGAGGAUCCUAGCG
rnacentral:rRNA from 1 species